rnacentral:rRNA from 1 species
AGUGAACGCUGGCGGUAGGCCUAACACAUGCAAGUCGAACGGCAGCACAGUAAGAGCUUGCUCUUACGGGUGGCGAGUGGCGGACGGGUGAGGAAUACAUCGGAAUCUACUUUUUCGUGGGGGAUAACGUAGGGAAACUUACGCUAAUACCGCAUACGACCUACGGGUGAACGCAGGGGAUCUUCGGACCUUGCGCGAUUGAAUGAGCCGAUGUCGGAUUAGCUAGUUGGUGGGGUAAAGGCCCACCAAGGCGACGAUCCGUAGCUGGUCUGAGAGGAUGAUCAGCCACACUGGAACUGAGACACGGUCCAGACCCCUACGGGAGGCAGCAGUGGGGAAUAUUGGACAAUGGGCGCAAGCCUGAUCCAGCCAUACCGCGUGGGUGAAGAAGGCCUUCGGGUUGUAAAGCCCUUUUGUUGGGAAAGAAAAGCAGCAGGUUAAUACCCCGCUGUUCUGGCGGUACCCAAAGAAUAAGCACCGGCUAACUUCGUG